rnacentral:rRNA from 1 species
CGAUUAGGGUUCGAUUCUGGCUCAGGACGAACGCUGGCGGCGUGCGUAACACAUGCAAGUCGAACGAAGUAAGUUGCUUCACCAAGUGUUGAAUAGCUACCCCCAAGCGCAUUUGCCAAAGGGUAAGCAAAAAGUACUAUCAAUUAAAUAGAAUGGUGAAACAAAAGAAUAGCGAAGAAGAAGCAAAUGCGCUUCACGCUAAUUCCAAGUACCAACACAAAACAAAUUCAAUGUUUGGUGAAGCAACUUGCUUAGUGGCGGACGGGUGAGUAACGCGUGAACAAUCCGCCCCGUACAAAGGGAUAGCCUCGGGAAACCGGGAUUAAAACCAUAUAACACUUAACUGCCGCAUGGUAGUGAAGUCAAAUCGAUUAAGAGGUAUGGGAUGAGUUCGCGUCUGAUUAGCUAGUUGGUGAGGUAAGGGCUCACCAAGGCGACGAUCAGUAGCCGGCCUGAGAGGGUGAACGGCCACACUGGAACUGAGACACGGUCCAGACUCCUACGGGAGGCAGCAGUGGGGAAUAUUGCACAAUGGAGGGAACUCUGAUGCAGCGACGCCGCGUGAGUGAAGAAGGUCUUCGGAUCGUAAAACUCUGUCCUUGGUGAAGAAAAGGACGGUAGCCAAGGAGGAAGCCCCGGCUAACUACGUGCCAGCAGCCGCGGUAAUACGUAGGGGGCGAGCGUUGUCCGGAUUUACUGGGCGUAAAGGGUGAGUAGGCGGUUAUAUAUGUCAGGUGUAAAAAGCUAUGGCUUAACCAUAGUAAGCACUUGAAACUGUAUGACUUGAGUGCAGGAGAGGUAAGCGGAAUUCCUAGUGUAGCGGUGAAAUGCGUAGAUAUUAGGAGGAACACCGGUGGCGAAGGCGGCUUACUGGACUGUAACUGACGCUGAGUCAC